rnacentral:rRNA from 1 species
GACGAACGCUGGCGGCGUGCCUAAUACAUGCAAGUUGAGCGAUGAAGAUUGGUGCUUGCACCAAUUUGAAGAGCAGCGAACGGGUGAGUAACGCGUGGGGAAUCUGCCUUUGAGCGGGGGACAACAUUUGGAAACGAAUGCUAAUACCGCAAACAACUUUAAACAUAAGUUUUAAGUUUGAAAGAUGCAAUUGCAUCACUCAAAGAUGAUCCCGCGUUGUAUUAGCUAGUUGGUGAGGUAAAGGCUCACCAAGGCGAUGAUACAUAGCCGACCUGAGAGGGUGAUUGGCCACAUUGGGACUGAGACACGGCCCAAACUCCUACGGGAGGCAGCAGUAGGGAAUCUUCGGCAAUAGACGAAAGUCUGACCGAGCAACGCCGCGUGAGUGAAGAAGGUUUUCGGAUCGUAAAACUCUGUUGGUAGAGAAGAACGUUGGUGAGAGUGGAAAGCUCAUCAAGUGACGGUAACUACCCAGAAAGGGACGGCUAACUACGUG